UACGAAGGGGGCUAGCGUUGCUCGGAAUCACUGGGCGUAAAGCGCACGUAGGCGGCUUUCUAAGUCAGGGGUGAAAUCCUGGAGCUCAACUCCAGAACUGCCUUUGAUACUGGGAAGCUCGAGUCCGGAAGAGGUGAGUGGAACUCCGAGUGUAGAGGUGAAAUUCGUAGAUAUUCGGAAGAACACCAGUGGCGAAGGCGGCUCACUGGUCCGGUACUGACACUGAGGUGCGAAAGCGUGGGGAGCAAACAGG
rnacentral:rRNA from 1 species